rnacentral:tRNA from 1 species
GCACUCUUAGCUCAGCUGGUAGAGCACAUGGCUUUUAACCAUGUGGUCGUGGGUGCU